UGCAUUUUUUACUUACUUAAGUGAAAAAUGUUGCCCAUGUGACCAAAAAAUCAGUAAAUUUACUUUAUUCUCUGGAAGGCAGAUCCCUCUGAGAUGCACCCCUGGGAAUUUCAGGGGGUGACUGAAGGCAGCAAAAUAGCACAAAUAAUUUUAAGGCCUUAAAAAUUUUAGAAGCAUUAAUUUACUUCCCUGAGAAAUCAGUGAGAGUUAAAUAUGAUGUAUCUUUUCAAGAUACGCUUUUCUACAGAUUAUAAAGAGAUUAAAAGCAGUGCUUAACCCCCACAGCCUCCUCCAAUCUGCAGUGCACAGGUGCCAGCAGGAGUGGCACUGUGAGUAGGUUACAAGACAUAGAGGUGCCCUCUGGCUUACUCUCCUUUUCAAUAUCUUUUGCUCUCUGGCCACAUCUAUGGGGGGAAGAAAAAUAAGGACCAAGAUGCUCCAGAAAAAAAAUAGUUCUGUUACUAAUGUCUCAAAGGCUCAAUACUGUAUUGUUUGCAUGGUUUUAUUACUUUAAGUCUGCAUGCUGGGCACAACAGAUCUAAUAGGAUAUCUAGUUUAAAAGAGCCAGUUCAUGGGACAUCUGUUCUUGAAAUCUGUAGAGGGAGGUACAACUCUCUUGUGUCUUAUUUUUUCCAAUAAGUGAGAAGGACUCUCUUUUCAAUCCAAUUAUUUGUGAUCUUGUCCUUUAAAAGCAUUUUCAAGCCUGAUCAUUGAAAGUAUCAGAGGAUGAUGGCAUGGUCCCCUAAACAACGGCAGAGAGAUUCUCCUGUGAGCUGUCUGAGUGAAAUGAGCAUUUCUCCAAAAACCUGCUCCCUCCACUAAAGAUUUGCAGUACACAGACCGUCUUAGCCUAGGGUGAGUUUCAGACAGAUAACUAGAAAACCAGAGUUUACUUAAGUAUCAGGUGACUGAUGGUGUAUAUUGUCCUCCUAAAGCCUUUUAUCUGAGGUAUGAGAACAAAAUCUAGUGACAUAUUUCUAAUCUACCUAGUUCAUUUUUCCUCCAAUUCCUUAUGUACUUUUCUCCAAAGACUCGUGUUGCUCAGAAGAGGAGGAACAAAGGAUACAAAUCUUGAGGUAUGACACUUUCACAGCACUUCUCUGGCUGAUAUGCUUAUUAGUGUGCUAAGCUCCAGUACAGCAGCCAUAUACUGAUUGCUGUAGUGCUUUUAGUUAGGGGAAAUCAUCAUGAAUUGUUUCUGAGAGCAUCCUGACCCAGCCACAGUCUGUUUAUAUACCACAGCAAAGCUAUACCAAACCGUCCCAUCUUGGAAAACACUGAUACUUUUACUUUGAGGAACAAGCCAUAAAGAACAAUUGUGAAGACUGUGGCUGAUGACCUUGAAACUGCAUGUUAUGGACAAGGAAACAAGAAAUUAAGGUGGAAGUGAAAGUAGGAAACGGAAAAGACUACUGAACCUGACAUCAUGAGCAAGAAGAGGUUAACAUGAAAUAAAUACAAGGGUUUGCAGGCAAGAUGUAUGUCCCGUACAAGGCACAGAAGCUCUGCAAACACUGAUGCUGCCACAUGCAGCCUCGAGACCUCCAUUUACAAAUUCUGCUCAACAUAUCUGAUGUCAAUGUUUUUCUAAAAAAAGAUACUCUAAAUUUUGAAAUGAAAUAUGUUGGUAACAAUAGGAGCCAGUGAAAACAAGAACAGAGGAAUGAGCUGAGCUUUAAAAGAAAAGUUUUAUUUGGUAAAAAAUAAAAGUAAUAAAUUAUUUCAAGACAUUUUUGGUUUGUAU